UGAGUUCUCCGUUCGUCGUCAGCCUGUUGCGUUCAUACUAGUCGCCAGAGCCAGUGCCAGAGUCAGAGCCAGAGUCUGGUACACCAGAGCAGAGCUUCAGGCAUCGCUAUUCCCCAACACGCCUUUGGCAUCGCGACGCGGCGCGGCUCGUGAAUACAUACAAAUCGAAAUCCGGUCUAACAAAUAGAUAUAUCCCGAUCGUCAUACAAUAAAUUGUAUUCCAGAUACAAAGAAUUUGGGGCGGGCAUUACGAUUGAGAAGAAAUGAUGAAAGCCACAGCGUGGUUUUGUCCGGUGUUAUUAACUUUACUGUGUGCAACGAGGCUCGUUUGUACGGCACAGAGGGGCACGGGCACGGGCUCGGGCGCAGAGCAGCAGCCCGCCGGAAACAGCCACACAAACGGAUAUCCUUUGGACUACCUGGAUGCACGGAACACACAGGAUGAUUUUUUGCUCGCAAAGCGCAACAAGCCGUCCCUGUCCAUUGUCAAUCCGUUGGAUGUCCUGCGUCAGAGGCUGCUCCUGGAAAUAGCGCGCAGGCAAAUGAAGGAGAACACGCGGCAGGUCGAAUUGAAUCGGGCCAUUCUGAAGAACGUGGGCAAACGAGUCUACCUAAGACCGGCGGCGGCAGAGGCAAUCCUAUCCAGACCGUACUCGCAGCAGCUGGAGAGGGCACUGGCAAGGAGCAACAAGCGCCAACAGAAGAUGCACUGGACCAAUUUCCCCAGUCCACUCCAGUGGAGCUAUGCGAUGCCGCAGUCCCCAGACACAUCACAGUUUCAGAGUCAGAGUCAGAGUCAGAAAUCACAAGCUCAGAAGUUAUUCAACUAUGCAAAAAAAUCUCUAAACGGUGCUGGGGUCGGACCAGGUCUGGGCAUGAGUGUGGCGGCGAAACAUCCAGCUGACGGAAAUGAAGUUGCAAAUGAAAAAUAUCAUGAAAAUCAUGGUGAUAGAAAUGCUGCGAUGGCCAGCAAAAACGCAACCAUAUAUGUGGCAGACACGGACGAGGUCGACGACGAGAACGAGAACGACGACAACGAGGAGGAGGAGAGCCGGGUGGAGCAGGCGUUUGAGGAGGACAAACCCAAUUUGGAACCGCACGGAAUGGCUGCAGGUGUGGACAAUACAAUUGAAUAUAUUCCGUGGAACCUGCUCUACCGCUACCUACCGCAAAGAAAGCACUAUAACGACAUUUAAGUGGCUAAAGAUUGAGAUGCAAUUACAGACUACGGAUUACGGAUUACAGAUACGGUAUACGGUAUACGGUUACACAUGCACCAAAACGCAUAUAGAAAUGCAUAUAGAAAUGUACAUUGACGGUUCCUAAAUGGCUGGCUACAAGGCAGGCAUGUUGUGUGGUGCACAUACUCCGCAUCCAAUCCACAUCCACAAUCGGCUCGACUCCGCUCCACUCCACUCGAACCCUUCGAUAAAUCCUUUUUCAAUGUUGCUAAACGUAUUCAAAUACUGUUGAACCAAAAAGAAAUCGAGAAUACCUUCUUUGAUUGAUUCCAAAUCGAAACCAAAGCUGCAAACUAUAAUUAAAUGUUAUUAAUAAUACAGCAAAUAAAUGCAUUUGUUUGAAGGCGUAAUUGAUAGUGAUCAGCGAUAUGUUCCCUAAAUAUUCUGCCUAUUUUUUCGUACGAAAUUACACACUCCGCGGGCGGACAAUAUUACUUUUUACCAGUUUAUCAAGCAUUUCCCCUAUCGCCUUUGUGUUGCGGAUGCUCAAAUAAUUAUUAAAAAUAGUACUUAAUGGACUCUUUUGCACACCACACACUUUGUCUUUUGAUCACUAUGGAAAUUACGUAGUUAACAUGGUUCCAAAUCAUACGAAUACGAAUACGAAUACCGAUUUUAACGUAGAGGGAAUACCACCCUACAAUAUACGAUACUACUCAAGCAAGCAGCUACUAUUUCGAUUCAUAAAUAAAUACAGAAUACAGGAUACCAGCCACCAGUGAGUAAGUUGACAAGGAAUUAAAUUGGUUUUCCAAACUACGAUCUACGAUUAAUAAUUAUGAAUUAACUUUUCAUUUAUAUAUAUUGUAUGUGACUGUAAAUAAAAACAAGUUUUCAAACAAAGCUAAAAUAGUGACAAAAAAUCGAAUAUAUUAUAUAUUAUACGAAAAUAUGUGCGUACCUAUGUAUACUUAUAAAAAAAUAAAUUUAAAUAAAAUAAAAACCAUGAGGCAUUGAAAUGACAA